rnacentral:tRNA from 1 species
GGAUGUAGCUUAGUGGUAGAGUGUGUGUGUGCUUAACAAGCACAAGGUCCUGGGUUCAAUCCCCAGUACCUCCA